rnacentral:lncRNA from 1 species
UUAUCAGUGUAAAACAAUGCGUAUUAUGUAUUUCAUUUUCUUAAUACAUAAAAAAGGCAUGAGAGCUUAAAAAGGGGAAACUAAAAAAAGGUAUCCCAGUGCACCGUGCACAAGCUCCCACUAUGCACGGAUUUUGGGAAAAGUCGAACCACAAGGAUCUAUUGAAAAUGCGUAUUAUGUAUUUCAUUUUCUUAAUACAUAAAAAAGGCAUGAGAGCUUAAAAAGGGGCAAUUAAAAAAAGGUAUCCCGGUGCACCGUGCACAAGCUCCCACUAUGCACGGGGUUCAGGGAAAGGCCGAACCACAAGGAUCUAUUGAAAAUGCGUAUUAUGUAUUUCAUUUUCUUAAUACAUAAAAAAGGCAUGAGAGCUUAAAAAGGGGCAAUUAAAAAAAGGUAUCCCGGUGCACCGUGCACAAGCUCCCACUAUGCACGGGGUUCAGGGAAAGGCCGAACCACAAGGAUCUAUUGAAAAUGCGUAUUAUGUAUUUCAUUUUCUUAAUACAUAAAAAAGGCAUGAGAGCUUAAAAAGGGGCAAUUAAAAAAAGGUAUCCCGGUGCACCGUGCACAAGCUCCCACUAUGCACGGGGUUCAGGGUAAGGCCGGACCACAAGGAUCUAUUGAAAAUGCAAUCAAUACAUAAAAAAUCAAUCUCCAACUUCUGACCAAGAGCUGGAGAUCAACUGGAGCUGGUAUAACUGAGAGGUUGAUGCUUCAGGACAGUAAACAGAAAACAAAUUUAUCA